CGGAGGGUGGCUCCGCUGUUCUCAUCUGCAGCUUGCAACUGUUCAUGCCUGCGCAUCAUAGGCAGGUGGGCAUCAGGAAGGAGGAUCAUUGAGUCAGCCUAGACCCACGCACAGAAUCUGACAAUGACCCUUGGGCUUUUCCAGUGGUUACCACAACACCAUUUCCUGCCGCCUGGAGGGAAGACAGAGUAAUUGUUGGCAGCAAGAGAGUGGAACCUGGAGACGAUGUGGACAUGUUGGUGUUCAAAGGAAAAGACCUGAGCCUCUGCCUUAAGAGGCAGACUCACCCUCUCCAGCUUAGCGGGGGUGAAUGUUGCCCCCCAGCUCCUCAGACACCCCCUUGGUACUAGGCUUGUUCUCCAGGCUUACUAGAGGAGUACCCCUCACUCUAACAACAUCCUCAAUGAUUAUCACCCCUGCCUCCUACCUCCCAUGUCCACCCCCAUGGCAGGGCCCCCACAGAAGCAAAACAUAGUCACCUUAGACUCUGGCAUACUGAAGCCAGGCCCUGAUCCUGUCAGCCUCACCUUCCUGCCAACUUGUAUUUAAUAAAAAUAUUAAGUGGUA